GCUGGGGCUCAGUGGCAGAGCGCUUGCCUAGCAUGCGUGAGGCCCUGGGUUCGAUUCUCAGCACUGCA
rnacentral:tRNA from 1 species